rnacentral:lncRNA from 1 species
CGAGUUUCCCCCACUAGGUUAAUAGAAUUCCACCCAGAGGCAGACAGUUAGCAAACCACCUUCUCGGGCUGUGGCUGGGAAUCGCGCUACACUUGACAGCCCUUUCCAUGGGCCUCCCCGGCCCGCCUGCCCUCGGCCCCGAAGUCAGGGGAGACAGGGGCCAUUUCAGCUGCUCGCGCUCGCUUGCCUUCCCGUCCCUGCCGGAGUCAGCAGACCCUGACUUCUGGAGAAGCGUUGCUGCGAUGUGUCAGCUGCUCGGGGAGAGGCUGGAGUGAUGGAUUCCAAGAGCUGUCAGGAGAAAGGGUUUACGACUAUGAGCAAUCUGAUGCUAGUCCCGAUGUCUUGGUUAUCUCUUGUGUAUCCAGCACCCAAGGGAAGGAGCAUCCCAUGGCUACAACUCUCAAGCAUCGAAAUGGAACCUGUGAGAGUUCUUCACCCCACAGGGAACUCCUUCCACCAAACUUAGGGGAGCGAGAAAGGGGUUGUAAGGACUUGCCUUUGUAUCUCCCCAGCCCCUGCACAGGGCUGGAUUUGCAUAUGUUAAUAUGGAGAACUGCAACUAUUUAAUGAGAAGCAGUGGGCCACGUGGGUGAGCAGAAUUCCUUAGAGUAUUUUUUUCAGAUGUCUUAAUUCACUCUCUCUUUGUUGUAUUUCAGCAGAUCCAGGUAUUUGCACUGAGUUGGUCCUGGUCCCCACUCCUGUCCCCCAAAUCUCUGAAACCACAGAUCUCAUUAGAUGCCAGGCUCAGCCUUGUGUUUGGAGGGUGAUGGUGGGCGGAGUGCUCUGCCUACCUGGAAGCAAUGCCAGGAUGGCUGGAGGUAGCCUACUCCAGGCCAAGGAGCCCCAGCCCAGAGGUUGGGCGGGGACGUGCCUGAGGGGGGUGGGGAGGAAAGGAUAGAAUUCCAAAGAGGAGAACCCUAGAUGGAGAGAGCCCUCUGGGCUUUCAGCCCUUCAUCUGGGUUCCACUAAAAACACAUUUUGCGUGUUUCUGUUGUUCUUAAGUCUGGGUUUAUUUCAAGGGGAAAGUUAUAAAGAGACAUCUCUCCCUUUAUUUCAACAGCAGCUUGUGCUUGGGUAGAUUCUCAUUUGUCUUGUCUGUCCUGCCUGGAGGUAAAAGGAGUAGGUUGGGGUGGGGGUCCCAAGAGGCCCCAGGAGACCAAGGCCUCAGGCUGUGCUUGCCUCCAGUGUGUUAGACCAGUAGGUCUGUCACAGGUUCUGACCUUCCAGCUGAUAGCAACACACACCGCCAGAUGAGAGACUUGGGGGGUUGAGAAUGAAAGGAAGGGACUUGGGGAAGCACAGAACAAGGAGAGGCCUGGUGAGGUGGCCCCACCUGGGAAACAUCCACAGACAGACAGGCAAGUGACCAUCCCCAUGGCUGUUUGAGAGCCUUCCUCUCUGAACCCAGGGCAGCAUCUGUCAGGUAGCCACCCAAGUGAGGCAGGGUUUUGCCCAGGUCGGAAGCCAGAGGUAGCAUCCAGUCUCCCUAAGAAUUCAGGUCCCAAUCCAGUCUGAGAAUCCCGAAGAGGACCCAGAGCCCUUGAAUCAGUCCAUACCUCAGAGACACAAAGAAGAAAUGUCAGCGCUUGAAAGGCCCUUAGCCGUGUAACCCACUGCCCUCAUUUCACAGAUGAGGAAACAGGCCCAGGGAGGGAAAGCUCCUUGCCUAGGGCACACAGUGGGUCAGCGAUGGGCUGGUCCUGCAGCCCGGGCCUCAGUGUUCUCUGCACUUUUCUACUUUUCCACCCUGCUGCUUACAAGGUUCAUCCUCCCAGUAGCGCCAUGAAGUGUGUAUAAUUGUCCCCAUUUUACAAAGGAGGACACUGAGGCUUGGAGGAGGUAAGUGAUUUGCUCCAUGUCACUGUCUGGUAUUUGAUGACUAUAAUUCCCAAACUACUCCCAACUGAAUCAGACUCCCACGGGGAGGCGGGUGCACCAGGCGAGGGUUACAGAUGGAGGUCGACUGCCUCUGCCACAGGAGAGUUGGCAAGUUGGGGGUUUGGAUGGAUAAGCAGCUCUCUCCCAUCUCCCAGACAGUGGAGCACAGUUGAGCUCUGGAAGCAGCACAGUGAUGCGUGGUGAGCCUCAGCCGGCGCAAAUGCAAGCUGGAGGGUCCUGGGUUCAGUGGCUAUGUCACAGCCUCAUCACAGACCUGAAAAUGGUGGGCAUGAGAGGCAGACGUGUAAUUUCCUCUUUACUACCGCCAGUCAUGUGAUUACAGCCGAGCUCAGGAGGGCCGGGUGAGCAUUGCAGAAAGGCUGUAGCUAGAUAGGAUCCCUAGAGCCAGAGCAGGGUUGGGGAGUGCAACUCUAGGAAAAGCUUCAUUUUCCACACCCACUCCACUCCCAAACAUAAGCUGAAGGUCCCAGUGAACUCCGUUAAAGAAGAAUGAAAAGUCUGAUGCAGCUAUUUAAAAACAGGCAGGCGUCAAGUGGCCAAUGGCAGUCGAGUGCAGCCGGGGCAGCGCUCGGGAAAAUCAUCCACCACCGUCAGCCCUGGAGAGGCAGACCUGGGGUUCCCCGCAGAAGCGGGUGCGGGUCCAUGUAGGCUACCCCGUCAUCUUUGUGCCACGGAGCUAGUUCAUCACGGGGCCUUGCUGAUUCCUUCCCCAGCACGCCUCAACAAUCCCGCUGCUCUCCUGAGACCCAAGCCCUUUCACUCUUUGCUUAGAAGUCCAGCUUUGUUUCCAAACUGUUUUCCCUUUCUCUUCUCCCUACAGCCUCCCUUGACAGGGCAGCUUUAGUGUCCGUGCUUCCCAGAACCAGUGCUGCAUGCUCACCUGCUGGACUCCCCCAGGAUGUAUAGACAUCUCAUAAGAGUGGGGGCUGCCUCUGGGAAGGGACUGGAAAAAGGCUAAGGGGAAGGAGCUCGGGGGCUGGCAAGCCCGGAUGCGACAAAGCACCGAGGUGGGCUUGAAUAUGGAUUUUUCUCCCCAGAACAUCCCUGGGAAUCAUUUCUGUCAGAUGCUUCACUGGAUGUCCCUUGGUCUUUACAGCCAUCUAUCCUCCUUCUCCAACCCCCACCUCGAAUUGCAACUUGCUAUUUUAAUUAUAGUUUCUCUUGCCACAC